rnacentral:rRNA from 1 species
UCGAGUGGCGAACGGGUGAGUAACACGUGGGUAAUCUGCCCUGCACUUCGGGAUAAGCCUGGGAAACUGGGUCUAAUACCGGAUAGGACCUCAAGGCGCAUGCCUUUUGGUGGAAAGCUUUUGCGGUGUGGGAUGGGCCCGCGGCCUAUCAGCUUGUUGGUGGGGUGACGGCCUACCAAGGCGACGACGGGUAGCCGGCCUGAGAGGGUGUCCGGCCACACUGGGACUGAGAUACGGCCCAGACUCCUACGGGAGGCAGCAGUGGGGAAUAUUGCACAAUGGGCGCAAGCCUGAUGCAGCGACGCCGCGUGGGGGAUGACGGCCUUCGGGUUGUAAACCUCUUUCAGCAGGGACGAAGCGCAAGUGACGGUACCUGCAGAAGAAGCACCGGCCAACUACG